AGCGGCGCAAGGGUGCGUAACACGUGGGUAAUCUGCCAUGAAGUUUGGGAUAAUCCCGCGAAAGCGGGACUAAUACCGGAUGUGGACCUUGGGAGGCAUCUUCUGGGGUUUAAAGCUGGGGACCGUAAGGCCUGACGCUUCAUGAUGAGCCCGCGGCCUAUCAGCCAGUUGGUGAGGUAACGGCUCACCAAGGCGAAGACGGGUAGCUGGUCUGAGAGGACGACCAGCCACACUGGAACUGAGACACGGUCCAGACACCUACGGGUGGCAGCAGUCGAGAAUUUUUCACAAUGGGCGCAAGCCUGAUGGAGCGACGCCGCGUGGGGGAUGAAUGGCCUCGGCCCGUAAACCCCUGUCAUUUGCGAUCAAGGCGCAUGAUUUAAAAGAUGAUGCGUUGAUAGUAGCGAAAGAGGAAGGGACGGCUAACUCUGUGCCAGCAGCCGCGGUAAUACAGAGGUCCCGAGCGUUGUUCGGAUUCACUGGGCGUAAAGGGUGCGUAGGUGGUGGGGUAAGUCGGAUGUGAAAUCUCGGAGCUCAACUCCGAAAUGGCAUUGGAAACUGCCCUGUAGAGGGUCGGAGGGGGGACUGGAAUUCUCGGUGUAGCAGUGAAAUGCGUAGAUAUCGAGAGGAACACCAGUGGCGAAGGCGAGUCCCUGGACGACUCCUGACACUGAGGCACGAAAGCUAGGGGAGCAAACAG
rnacentral:rRNA from 1 species